rnacentral:rRNA from 1 species
UACGGAGGAUCCAAGCGUUAUCCGGAUUUAUUGGGCGUAAAGAGCUCGUAGGCGGCUUGUCGCGUCGUCUGUGAAAGCCCCGGGCUCAACCUGGGAACCGCGCUUGAGACUGGCACGCUAGAGUUCGGGAGAGGAUGGUGGAAUUCCCAGUGUAGAGGUGAAAUUCGUAGAUAUUGGGAAGAACACCGAUGGCGAAGGCAGCCAUCUGGACCGACACUGACGCUGAGGCGCGAAAGCGUGGGGAGCAAACAGG